GGGGUUGUAGCUCAGUGGUAGAGCAGUUACCUAGCAUGUAUGAGGCACUGGGUUUGAUCCCCAGCACCACA
rnacentral:tRNA from 1 species